rnacentral:misc_RNA from 1 species
AAAGAAAUAAAAUAUACUACACUACAUCAGCAUUCUAAUAAAAGUGAAAAUUGUAUACAAGAUUGCUCUGCGACACACACAUAUAUAGAUAUGCACAUGCGUACGCGUAUCUUUGGAAAAAAUUCAUAAUAUAUAUAUGUCGGGUUGGCGUUAAGAUUAGAGUUAGGGUUAAGGGCGUGAAACGAAUCCCUAUUGGCGCUAGACGUGAUCAUUAUGCAAUAGAGGUGAUAUUUACUAGUGCAAAUAUGACUAUGAUGGAAUUGGACAAGUAAUCGC